rnacentral:rRNA from 1 species
AGAUUGAACGCUGGCGGCAUGCCUUACACAUGCAAGUCGAACGGCAGCACGGGAGCAAUCCUGGUGGCGAGUGGCGAACGGGUGAGUAAUACAUCGGAACGUGCCCAAUCGUGGGGGAUAACGCAGCGAAAGCUGUGCUAAUACCGCAUAAGAUCUACGGAUGAAAGCAGGGGAUCGCAAGACCUUGCGCGAAUGGAGCGGCCGAUGGCAGAUUAGGUAGUUGGUGAGGUAAAGGCUCACCAAGCCUUCGAUCUGUAGCUGGUCUGAGAGGACGACCAGCCACACUGGGACUGAGACACGGCCCAGACUCCUACGGGAGCAGCAGUGGGGAAUUUUGGACAAUGGGCGAAAGCCUGAUCCAGCCAUGCCGCGUGCAGGAUGAAGGCCUGGUGUAAACUGCUUUGUACGGAACGAAAAGUACUACUUUCUAAUAAAGUAAGGAUACAUAGACGGUACCGUAAAGAAAUAAAGACGAACCGGACUAACUACGUACG